rnacentral:lncRNA from 1 species
CUUCUGGCCAUCCUAGGAAAAAAAAAAUGAUUGUACGGCCCAUGGGCUGGAUUAAGGACCGGACCUAGAACUAAGGAGGAAAUACUGCAAGAAGGAUGCCCAUGGCACUUUGAAUGUUCCGGAUCCACCAAUAUCAGAAAGGUGCAGAGUGAUUGGACUCCAAAAUGAACCAUCAAGCCCACAGGCAAGCUUAGUACAGAAGACAGGCCUGCUUUCCAGGAUAGUAGUUAAGCUUUUCUCUUCUGAAUCAAAUAUCA